UACGAAGGGGGCUAGCGUUGUUCGGAAUUACUGGGCGUAAAGCGCACGUAGGCGGGUCGUUAAGUCAGGGGUGAAAUCCCGGAGCUCAACUCCGGAACUGCCUUUGAUACUGGCGAUCUAGAGAUCGAGAGAGGUGAGUGGAAUUCCGAGUGUAGAGGUGAAAUUCGUAGAUAUUCGCAAGAACACCAGUGGCGAAGGCGGCUCACUGGCCCGGUACUGACGCUGAGGCACGAAAGCGUGGGGAGCAAACAGG
rnacentral:rRNA from 1 species